rnacentral:rRNA from 1 species
GAGUUAACUGAACCUUCGGGGAACGUUAACGGCGUCGAGCGGCGGACGGGUGAGUAAUGCCUGGGAAAUUGCCCUGAUGUGGGGGAUAACCAUUGGAAACGAUGGCUAAUACCGCAUAAUAGCUUCGGCUCAAAGAGGGGGACCUUCGGGCCUCUCGCGUCAGGAUAUGCCCAGGUGGGAUUAGCUAGUUGGUGAGGUAAUGGCUCACCAAGGCGACGAUCCCUAGCUGGUCUGAGAGGAUGAUCAGCCACACUGGAACUGAGACACGGUCCAGACUCCUACGGGAGGCAGCAGUGGGGAAUAUUGCACAAUGGGCGCAAGCCUGAUGCAGCCAUGCCGCGUGUGUGAAGAAGGCCUUCGGGUUGUAAAGCACUUUCAGCAGUGAGGAAGGCGGUGUCGUUAAUAGCGGCAUCAUUUGACGUUAGCUGCAGAAGAAGCACCGGCUAACUCCGUGCCAGCAGCCGCGGUAAUACGGAGGGUGCGAGCGUUAAUCGGAAUUACUGGGCGUAAAGCGCAUGCAGGUGGUUAGUUAAGUCAGAUGUGAAAGCCCGGGGCUCAACCUCGGAACUGCAUUUGAAACUGGCUGACUAGAGUACUGUAGAGGGGGGUAGAAUUUCAGGUGUAGCGGUGAAAUGCGUAGAGAUCUGAAGGAAUACCGGUGGCGAAGGC